ACAAGCAGGAAGGCAGGACGUGCCACUGCCUGAAUCUCCCUCUGUGGGAUGCAUCUUCCCAUCUCCUCUUUCCACCCUCCAAGCAUUUUACUUCCUUCCUACGUGGAAGACCACAUGAAAGGUUCAGCAGUUUGGAAGAUGAAUGAUACUGGAAGAUGCUCACUAGGAGAUGCUCUUCUCUCAACCAUCUCUUCCUUUGCUCACCCUGGACCACAGACAGUGGGUUUCUCUAAAAGCAAUCUUCCCAGCAGCUGGACAUGCCAACCCAUGCUUCACAGGCUCACGUGGAAGACAGAUCCUGCCUUCCCAAGGUUUGGCUGCUUGCUCUAAGAACCAAUCCUUGCAGAGAAUGCUGGGCACCCUCAGCCUCCUCCCAUCCUAUGGCACUUUAAAAACAAAACCCAAAAACAUGAUAUGUGUUUCUAAAAAAAUGAGGUAGAAUCAGUUUUGUGCCAUGAAGAGGAGGCUGGCAGAAGGAAGCAAGCAAGUACACAAAGCAAGCUCAGAUGGUUUCAGGUUCAACUUCAGCUUUGAAAUUUAUGGCUAUAGACCUCAUAAAGAUCCGUGUGACCAUCAUUCUGAAAACUUCUUGUUCAGUUCUGAUUUAUAGCUUGUGUAAAUCCAAGCAAAACAGUGCAGCAAAAGAAAUUCGUGGGAUAAUUUACAGCUUCAGUUUAGAUUAGGCUUUUAGUAGUUAUUUACCUUCAUACUUUAGAUAAAGAUUUGUGAGUAGCCAAUUACCCAAAGCAGCAUGAGCAGCUUUGACAGCUGACUCCAAUGCAGGAGAUACCCUUAGAAAGUGCUGCUUUAUAUCCUAAUAGAAAAUGCUACAGUUAAAAACAGAAACCGGAGUCUAUACCCUGAAUGUUAAAAUACUGGGGGGAAGAACAUCAUAAUCACUCACAUGGAACAAAGUGUUUGAGGAUAAAAGCUCCUGAAAAGGAGAUGGAGAGAUCAUUACUGCACGUUUAUAUAAAGCCAGGGAUGCUCUUUUAGGUGUUCUUUGAAUUUUAUUUUUUUAGCUGUACCAAUUUAUACCUGAAAAAAACAUCCCUAAAGAGUUCAUUAAACCUUUGUCUCAGUACUGCUUUGCUUUGGGACUUGUUUGUUGAUGUGAAAGACUGACUAUUUUCUUCAUGCAAAAUGGUACCUGGGAUUUUAAAACUGGGUGUGUCGUGUUGAUGUUACCUUCACUCAUUCUCCAUGUCUGCUUACAGCCUGGGCUCCUGAGCAGGGCUUUGCUCCCUGUUGCAAGGGCCUUUUGUUGCCUUUGUUAAGUCACCGUAAAGUCAGAUGAAUCAUUUACAUUGAGUUUUGAUUGAUUUCAUGUCUUUUUUUUUUUUGGUUUGAAAGGGAGUGAGGAACCAACUGCAGUUCCUCGUUAGAAUUCAUUUCUUCUUAAUUCCUGAAACUUCUUUGAAAGCAGUUCAGACUCAGAAUGCUAGAUCUCAAACACAAGCCGUGUUGAUCAGAUGCCUCAGUCACAAGCUAUGUAUCCUCCUGGGUGAGCAUAAUUUUGCAAUUGCCUUGUGGCUUCUGCCCAAACAGGGAUGAACUAGGAAGCUACUGUCUAAAACAGCAGUACUCAAAUAUUACUUUUAGGUAAAAUGGAAAAAGGCUUGGCAUCACUAUAUGACAGACUUCACAAACUGAACAGAAAAGGGGCACAAGACCCUACUCUUAGAAAGACAUGAAUUUCCUAGGUACAAGUCAUCACGUUCCUCUAGCUCCUCUACCUCUCCAUUUGGACUGAUGCCCAACACGUUGCUGCCACAAAGAGCCAUCUCAGCCUGGAGCAGUUAAAGAAAAUAAAAGGUUCAAAGUCUUUUGAGAUUCAGGUGUUAGGCAUUCAAGAUUAGGCAUCAAGCAUAUACGACUGAUGAUUUGGAAACUUCCAGAAGUCGCACAGAAGUUAUCUUCAAUUAUUUGGCAGCUAAUUGUCAUUACAAUAUAUGUUGGCUGAGUGUACAGUCACAGUUUGAUAAGCCAGCACUCACACUGCACAUCUUGCUUGAAGACCCACAGCCACACAAAUGCAUCAUUGGUAGAUAUUCACAGUGGUACCUAAGGUUAUACUUCCACAUCCACGAUCUGAGUUAUUAUCCACACUACAAAGGAAUUUUUCUACUUCUGAUUUCCCAUAUGGGCCAAGUAUUGCUUUGUAGUGUUUUGUAAAGUUAGGGAGCUUUUACAGAUGCAGAAGAUGAGUACUAAGUCUGCAAUUAUUAAAAAUGCUUUCUUACCACUCAAAGUAAGUCACCAUUCAGACCAUAGUAGGUUCCUGCAAGGAAGAGAUUAUGUGAAUUCUCAUCUUUUAGGGGUAUGUGUUACUCUUCACAUGAGACAUUUCAGGGAAUGCCCUGACCCUUACCAGCCUCAUAAAUGUUAACCUGAGAUUUGACAAACUUUGUUGAGUAUAUGAACAGUAUCCACAGUGCACCACUGAAAUAUUGGCCACUUAUUUCAAGCCUUCCUACCAAAACCUGCAUGCUUACUGCAUAGUCAUCACGUGUCUUUAGCUCAAAAUUCCCCAUACUGCUGCUACAAAACACACAGCUAUACCCUUCCUUCCCACUCAUGCAAAGUCCUCUGUAACAAGUAACAACAAUAAAUAAACUUUCAUGAUGAAGCUUA